rnacentral:lncRNA from 1 species
UAGCAUAAUACUAAAAGGAGGGAUGCAAAAGUGUCUGACUGUUCCCAGCUCAGCCACAGAAUUAAGGAACUUCUCUAGGAUAGAGAAUUUCUGAAUUUGGACCUUUUCAGACUGAACAGGAAAUGAAACUCAGCUCUGCAAAUACUACAGACAGUGCUCUCACCAUUCAGAAAGCUGAGAAAGUGUUUCACUUCAGUGAUGCAGAUGAUUGCCUGAGUCUCAGGUUAUCAGGGAAACAGGACCAGUAAAGCUGUUUAUGUAAAAUUGCAUGAGAGUUCAACAGUGAAGGAACCACCUGAUACACCUGGGAUUCC